rnacentral:rRNA from 1 species
CCUACGGGGGGCAGCAGUGAGGAAUAUUGGUCAUUGGACGAAAGUCUGAACCAGCCAUGUCGCGUGCAGGAAGACUGCUCUCUGAGUUGUCAACUUCUUUUAUACGAGAGUAAACGCAUCUACGUGUCUCUUUUUGUAAGUAUCAUAUGAAUAAGGAUCGGCUAACUCCGUGCCAGCAGCCGCGGUAAUACGGAGGAUUCAAGCGUUAUCCGGAUUUAUUGGGUUUAACGGGUGCGUAGGUGGUGUGUUAAGUUAGAGGUGAAAGUCUGAGGCUCAACUACGGAAUUGCAUCUGAAACUGGAAGGCUAGAGUGUAGUAGAGGUAGGCGGAAUGCGUGGUGUAGCGGUGAAAUGCUUAGAGAUCAUGCAGAACACCGAUUGCGAAGGCAGCUUACUAAGCUACAACUGACGGUGAGGCACGAAAGCGUGGGGAGCAAACAGGAUUAGAUACCCGUGUAGUC